rnacentral:rRNA from 1 species
CCUACGGGUGGCAGCAGUGAGGAAUAUUGGUCAAUGGUCGGGAGACUGAACCAGCCAAGCCGCGGGAGGGAGGAAGGUACAGAGUAUCGUAAACCUCUUUUGUCAGGGAACAAAGACUGGGACGCGUCCCCGGAUGAGUGUACCUGAAGAAAAAGGAUCGGCCUACUCCGUGCCAGCAGCCGCGGUAAUACGGAGGAUGCGGGCGUUAUCCGGAUUUAUUGGGUUUAAAGGGUGCGCAGGCGGCCUGUUAAGUCAGCGGUCAAAGCGCGGGGCUCAACCCCGGCCCGCCGUUGAAACUGGCAGUCUCGAGUUGGAGAGAAGUAUGCGGAAUGCGCGGUGUAGCGGUGAAAUGCAUAGAUAUCGCGCAGAACUCCGAUUGCGAAGGCAGCAUGCCGGCUCCACACUGACGCUGAGGCACGAAAGCGUGGGUAUCGAACAGGAUUAGAUACCCGAGUAGUC